rnacentral:rRNA from 1 species
AGUGUAGGCGGUUACUUAAGUCGGAUGUGAAAUCCCCGGGCUCAACCUGGGAAUUGCAUUCGAUACUGGGUAGCUAGAGUUUGGUAGAGGUAAGUGGAAUUCCGGGUGUAGCGGUGAAAUGCGUAGAUAUCCGGAGGAACAUCAGUGGCGAAGGCGGCUUACUGGACCAAAACUGACGCUGAGGCUCGAAAGCGUGGGGAGCAAACAGGAUUAGAUACCCUGGUAGUCC